UCAACGAAUUCCGCAAAACCGCAGCCCGAAUCAGCUGAUACGACCUAUCUUAUGAGAGCGCAAUGUAAAUGAUCUGUUAACACCGCUUCUACCGCCCGCUUUACCGUAGGAUACGGUACUUCUACGGUAUUUGGAUUUUUCCCGUAAAAACGUGUCAGCAGAUUGCUCUCUUACAAUGCAGAGUUGCCAGUCUCGAUUUACUGUAGUAAUUAUAAAAAUUGUCAUCAAUAUGUUUGAAAUUUUCUUAAAUUAACUCAAAAUCAGAGUCGAAAGCUAUUAUUUAUAAAUACAUAAACUAUUUUUAACAUUUUGUUUUCAGUUUUGAUAUUUUAUAUUAAAUUGUAAUUGAAAAGUUAGAUGUGUACAAAACUAUUGAGCAAUGGCAACAUUGUUCAAAUGUAAACAAGCGCCAUUAAAACAAAGAUUAAAUCAAAAUUUUAUUCGAAAUAUCUAUUCAAAAAAGAAAAUGAGGCGAGAACUACAAUGGAUGACGAGAAAUUAAUAGCUCUUAUUGAAGCUAAAAAUAAGCCAUACAACAAAAAUAGUCCAUACUACAAGCUGCAGUCCCGGAUAGAUGCUUUGUGGCAGGAAAUCGGGAAAAAAAUAAACGCAAGUGAAGAAAUGUGUCAGCGUAGAUGGCUAGCACUUCGGGAUCGAUACGGGAGGGAGCUAACGCCCCCUCAGGCAGCGAAUUGGAAUUUAUUAAGUAGUGGCAUUUGAUGAUUCUAUAAAGUUCUUGACCACAUAUUGUACCACGACCGGUUAGAUGAUCGCAUAAUAUUUGUGAAACCGUGACUCAAGUGCUACCCGCUGUCGCUGAUCAGGGUGAAUCGCAAUCACCAGCUGACGCAGCUCAAUUGCUGCCACAAGAACAUGCGCACGAGGUGCAAAUGUCAUCACCAUUAUGGCCCUUGUCGCCAUUAAGCCAGUCACCAUCGCCUCCUUUCUCAACUCCUUCCACCACAACCUCGCAGCCUUCACCGUCCUGCUCUACGCAAGUGUCCACCCAAAAGGGUAGAAAACGGGGGCCAUCUACCAGCGAGGUUGUCCAAAAAAUGAUCGAAGCCAAUGAGUUGUUUAAAAUUAGAUGGUCAUCCAUCCAGGAAACCCAACCACAACAAACCGCAAACCCGGCUAUACAGUCCUUCAGUAGUUUGAUAAUUUCCAUUUUAAGCAAACAGAGUGAAGAGAAACAAUCCAGGGCAAUGCACAAAAUGAUGUAAGCUGCAUUUGAAGUGCAACAGGAGCCGUAGAUGUAAAAUUUGAUUUAAUAGAGUUAUGAAUUAGUUAUUUUUAAAUUAUUAUUAAAGUUUUAUUUAUAUGUUUUUGUUUUGAAUUAAAAAAAAAUGAAAUAAAUGAAUUCAUGAAGUAAAAAAAAGGUAAAAGGUCCUCCUGUAAUAACGUCUAAAUUGUUCUGGAAUGGUACAGAUCCUUCAUUGAUAAAACAGUUAGCAAGUCUUUCCCGUAAGUUAAUCGCGUUUGAAGGACCUCUACGCA